UCGCGGAGCGCUCGAUUAGCGGCGAACGGGUGAGUAAUAAGUACAGACAUACCCCUUUGUAGGACAUAGUCCGCCGAAAGGCGGGGUAAUUUCCUAUAGUUCCACCAAUAGGUGGAUAAAGACGCAAGUCGCGAAGGGAGUGGUGUACUCGCUACCAGCUUGUUGGUGAGGUAAUGGCUCACCAAGGCUAUGACGGCUACCGGCUCUUAGCGGAGGGUCCGGCACAAUGGGACUGAGACACGGCCCAUACUUCUACGGAAGGCAGCAGCUAGGAAUUUUGCGCAAUGGACGAAAGUCUGACGCAGCGACAUCGCGUGUGGGAUGACGGCCCUCGGGUUGUAAACCACUUUUUGGGAGCCAUGAAGGCGCCCAGAAUAAGGAACUACUAACUACGUGCCAGCAGUCGCGGUAAUACGUAGGUUCCAAGCGUUGCCCGGUUUUAUUGGGCGUAAAGCGUCUUAGGUGGCUUUUUAAGUCUUGUUUCAAAGACCCCGACUCAAUCGGGGAAAGGGGCAGGAUACUGGAAAACUAGAGUUAUAUCGGGGUUACUGGAAUUUGUGGUGUAGGGGUAAAAUCCGUGGAUACCACAAAGAACACCAAGCGCGAAGGCGGGUAACCAGGUAUACACUGACACUCAGAGACGAAAGCUAGGGUAAUCAAUCAGAUUAGAGACCUGAGUAGUCCUAGCCGUAAACAUUGUCUGUUAAUUUUUUCUCGUUUAUCGGGAAGAGAUGCUAGCUAACGCGUUGAACAGACCGCCUGGGGAGUAUAGCCGCAAGGCCGAAACUCAAACGAAUUGGCGGGGAGGCGCACAACCAGUGGAGCAUGUGGUUCAAUUCGAUACGAAGCGAUAAACCUUACCUGGGUUUGAAAUGUAUCUGCAAGCUUUAUGAAAGUAGAGCCGCCUUCGAGGGUGAUACACAGCUGUUGCAUGGCUGUCGUCAGCUCGUGACGUGAGUUGUUCUCUUAAGUGAGGUAACGAGCGCAACCCCCAUUCCGUGUUACUGUGUCACGGAAGACUGCCCAGCAUUAUUUUGUUGGGAGGAAGGAGGGGACGAUGUCAAGUCAUCAUGAUGCUUAUAUCCAGGGCUACACACAUCCUACAAUGGGUUGUACAGAGGGUUGCAAGACCGCAAGGUGGAGCGAAUCCCUAAAACAUCCCUCAGUUGGGAUUGCAGGCUGCAAUUUGCCUGCAUGAACCCGGAAUUGGUAGUAAUCGCAAAUCAGAAGAUUGCGGUGAAUACGUUCUCGCCUCUUGCACACACUGCCCGUCAAAUCAGCAAAGUUGAGGGUACCCAAAGGCUCUGAUUCGUCAGGGACUAAGGUAAAUUCAGCGAUGAGGGUUAAGUCGUAACAAGGUA
rnacentral:rRNA from 1 species